rnacentral:rRNA from 1 species
GAUGAACGCUGGCGGCGUGCUUAACACAUGCAAGUCGAACGGUGAACGAGGGAGCUUGCUCCCUCCGGAUCAGUGGCGAACGGGUGAGUAACACGUGAGCAAUCUGCCCUGGACUCUGGGAUAAGCGUUGGAAACGACGUCUAAUACCGGAUACGAGGCGUGGGGGCAUCCCCAACGCCUGGAAAGAACUUCGGUCCAGGAUGAGCUCGCGGCCUAUCAGCUAGUUGGUGAGGUAACGGCUCACCAAGGCGACGACGGGUAGCCGGCCUGAGAGGGUGACCGGCCACACUGGGACUGAGACACGGUCCAGACUCCUACGGGAGGCAGCAGUGGGGAAUAUUGCACAAUGGGCGCAAGCCUGAUGCAGCAACGCCGCGUGAGGGACGACGGCCUUCGGGUUGUAAACCUCUUUUAGCAGGGAAGAAGCGAAAGUGACGGUACCUGCAGAAAAAGCACCGGCUAACUACGUGCCAGCCGCCGCCGUAACAC